AUUGAACGCUGGCGGCAUGCCUUACACAUGCAAGUCGAACGGUAACAGGUUAAGCUGACGAGUGGCGAACGGGUGAGUAAUAUAUCGGAACGUGCCCAGUCGUGGGGGAUAACUGCUCGAAAGAGCAGCUAAUACCGCAUACGACCUGAGGGUGAAAGCGGGGGAUCGCAAGACCUCGCGCGAUUGGAGCGGCCGAUAUCAGAUUAGGUAGUUGGUGGGGUAAAGGCCCACCAAGCCAACGAUCUGUAGCUGGUCUGAGAGGACGACCAGCCACACUGGGACUGAGACACGGCCCAGACUCCUACGGGAGGCAGCAGUGGGGAAUUUUGGACAAUGGGCGCAAGCCUGAUCCAGCCAUGCCGCGUGCGGGAAGAAGGCCUUCGGGUUGUAAACCGCUUUUGUCAGGGAAGAAAAGGUUCUGGUUAAUACCUGGGACUCAUGACGGUACCUGAAGAAUAAGCACCGGCUAACUACGUGCCAGCCGCCGCAGUAA
rnacentral:rRNA from 1 species